UUUUUUUUUUUUUUUUUUUUUUUUUUUUUUUUUUUUUUUUUUUUUUUAGACGGGCACUGUUGAAAU
rnacentral:ribozyme from 1 species